GCAUGACCUCUGCUAAAAAAAGUCGGAUGAAUCCUAAGGAAGUUAAUAGCUGAAGGCUGCAGCUACUAGAUUCCAGAGAGUGGCCUGGGCCACAAGAUACUCAACCAGAGCAGACAGUGUCAGCCUCUGUCAUGGAAAGCACAGAGCUUCCUAUCCUACAUGAUUGUCUAUUGUAAUGCCAAAUUACAAGCAAUGGAGUCUCACUCUGUUGCCCAGGCUGGAGUGCUGUGGCAUGAUCUCAGCUCACUGCCUUCUCUGCCUCUUGAGUUCAAGCGAUUCUCCUGCCUCAGCUUCCCAAGUAGCUGGGAUUACAGGCGCACGCCACCACGCCCCGCUAGUUUUUGUAUUUUCAGUAGAGACGGGGUUUCACCAUGUUGGCCAGACUGGUCUGUAACUCCAGACCUCAGGUGAUCUGCCCACCUUGGCCUCCCAAAGUGCUGGGAUUACAGGCCUGAGCCACCAUGCCCAGCCAAUUUCCAUAUAUUUUUUAAACUGGGAUUUCAGAGAGUAAUUUCCUCUUCAUGUGUAACCAGUUAUAUGAAUUAAAACAGAUUUAGCCUUCUUUUACGGUUGUG
rnacentral:lncRNA from 1 species